AUUGCUCUGUGGAUCAGUGGCGAACGGGUGAGUAACACGUGAGCAAUCUGCCCCUGACUCUGGGAUAAGCGCUGGAAACGGCGUCUAAUACCGGAUACGAGCUGCGACCGCAUGGUCAGUAGCUGGAAAGAAUUUCGGUCAGGGAUGAGCUCGCGGCCUAUCAGCUUGUUGGUGAGGUAAUGGCUCACCAAGGCGUCGACGGGUAGCCGGCCUGAGAGGGUGACCGGCCACACUGGGACUGAGACACGGCCCAGACUCCUACGGGAGGCAGCAGUGGGGAAUAUUGCACAAUGGGCGAAAGCCUGAUGCAGCAACGCCGCGUGAGGGAUGACGGCCUUCGGGUUGUAAACCUCUUUUAGCAGGGAAGAAGCGAAAGUGACGGUACCUGCAGAAAAAGCGCCGGCUAACUACGUGCCAGCAGCCGCGGUAAUACGUAGGGCGCAAGCGUUAUCCGGAAUUAUUGGGCGUAAAGAGCUCGUAGGCGGUCUGUCGCGUCUGCUGUGAAAACCCGAGGCUCAACCUCGGGCCUGCAGUGGGUACGGGCAGACUAGAGUGCGGUAGGGGAGAUUGGAAUUCCUGGUGUAGCGGUGGAAUGCGCAGAUAUCAGGAGGAACACCGAUGGCGAAGGCAGAUCUCUGGGCCGUAACUGACGCUGAGGAGCGAAAGGGUGGGGAGCAAACAGGCUUAGAUACCCUGGUAGUCCACCCCGUAAACGUUGGGAACUAGUUGUGGGGUCCAUUCCACGGAUUCCGUGACGCAGCUAACGCAUUAAGUUCCCCGCCUGGGGAGUACGGCCGCAAGGCUAAAACUCAAAGGAAUUGACGGGGACCCGCACAAGCGGCGGAGCAUGCGGAUUAAUUCGAUGCAACGCGAAGAACCUUACCAAGGCUUGACAUAUAGAGGAAACGUCUGGAAACAGUCGCCCCGCAAGGUCUCUAUACAGGUGGUGCAUGGUUGUCGUCAGCUCGUGUCGUGAGAUGUUGGGUUAAGUCCCGCAACGAGCGCAACCCUCGUUCUAUGUUGCCAGCACGUAAUGGUGGGAACUCAUGGGAUACUGCCGGGGUCAACUCGGAGGAAGGUGGGGAUGACGUCAAAUCAUCAUGCCCCUUAUGUCUUGGGCUUCACGCAUU
rnacentral:rRNA from 1 species